GACGAACGCUGGCGGCGUGCCUAAUCCAUGCAAGUCGAACGAACUCUGGUAUUGAUUGGUGCUUGCAUCAUGAUUUACAUUUGAGUGAGUGGCGAACUGGUGAGUAACACGUGGGAAACCUGCCCAGAAGCGGGGGAUAACACCUGGAAACAGAUGCUAAUACCGCAUAACAACUUGGACCGCAUGGUCCGAGUUUGAAAGAUGGCUUCGGCUAUCACUUUUGGAUGGUCCCGCGGCGUAUUAGCUAGAUGGUGAGGUAACGGCUCACCAUGGCAAUGAUACGUAGCCGACCUGAGAGGGUAAUCGGCCACAUUGGGACUGAGACACGGCCCAAACUCCUACGGGAGGCAGCAGUAGGGAAUCUUCCACAAUGGACGAAAGUCUGAUGGAGCAACGCCGCGUGAGUGAAGAAGGGUUUCGGCUCGUAAAACUCUGUUGUUAAAGAAGAACAUAUCUGAGAGUAACUGUUCAGGUAUUGACGGUAUUUAACCAGAAAGCCACGGCUAACUACGUGCCAGCAGCCGCGGUAAUACGUAGGUGGCAAGCGUUGUCCGGAUUUAUUGGGCGUAAAGCGAGCGCAGGCGGUUUUUUAAGUCUGAUGUGAAAGCCUUCGGCUCAACCGAAGGAGUGCAUCGGAAACUGGGAAACUUGAGUGCAGAAGAGGACAGUGGAACUCCAUGUGUAGCGGUGAAAUGCGUAGAUAUAUGGAAGAACACCAGUGGCGAAGGCGGCUGUCUGGUCUGUAACUGACGCUGAGGCUCGAAAGUAUGGGUAGCAAACAGGAUUAGAUACCCUGGUAGUCCAUACCGUAAACGAUGAAUGCUAAGUGUUGGAGGGUUUCCGCCCUUCAGUGCUGCAGCUAACGCAUUAAGCAUUCCGCCUGGGGAGUACGGCCGCAAGGCUGAAACUCAAAGGAAUUGACGGGGGCCCGCACAAGCGGUGGAGCAUGUGGUUUAAUUCGAAGCUACGCGAAGAACCUUACCAGGUCUUGACAUACUAUGCAAAUCUAAGAGAUUAGACGUUCCCUUCGGGGACAUGGAUACAGGUGGUGCAUGGUUGUCGUCAGCUCGUGUCGUGAGAUGUUGGGUUAAGUCCCGCAACGAGCGCAACCCUUAUUAUCAGUUGCCAGCAUUAAGUUGGGCACUCUGGUGAGACUGCCGGUGACAAACCGGAGGAAGGUGGGGAUGACGUCAAAUCAUCAUGCCCCUUAUGACCUGGGCUACACACGUGCUACAAUGGAUGGUACAACGAGUUGCGAACUCGCGAGAGUAAGCUAAUCUCUUAAAGCCAUUCUCAGUUCGGAUUGUAGGCUGCAACUCGCCUACAUGAAGUCGGAAUCGCUAGUAAUCGCGGAUCAGCAUGCCGCGGUGAAUACGUUCCCGGGCCUUGUACACACCGCCCGUCACACCAUGAGAGUUUGUAACACCCAAAGUCGGUGGGGUAACCUUUUAGGAACCAGCCGCCUAAGGUGGGACAGAUGAUUAGGGUG
rnacentral:rRNA from 1 species